CACGUAGGGGGCGAGCGUUGUCCGGAUUUAUUGGGCGUAAAGAGCUCGUAGGCGGCUCAGUAAGUCAGGUGUGAAAACUCCAGGCUCAACCUGGAGACGCCACCUGAUACUGCUGUGGCUAGAGUCCGGUAGGGGAGCAUGGAAUUCCUGGUGUAGCGGUGAAAUGACGCAGAGUAUCGAGGAGGAACACCAGUGGCGAAGGCGGUGCU
rnacentral:rRNA from 1 species